rnacentral:rRNA from 1 species
CUCCGUAGGGGAACCUGCGGAGGGAUCAUU